rnacentral:rRNA from 1 species
UUAAAGAGUUCUAUAACUCCCAAACCCAUGUGAACAUACCUAACGUUGCCUCGGCAGGUCGCACCUACCUUGUAGCACCCUACCCUGUAGGGCCUACCCGGGAGGUGCGGGUAAGCCUGCCGGCGGCCCACCAAACUCUGUUUGAUAUUGAAUUCUGAACCUAUAACUAAAUAAGUUAAAACUUUCAACAACGGAUCUCUUGGUUCUGGCAUCGAUGAAGAACGCAGCGAAAUGCGAUAAGUAAUGUGAAUUGCAGAAUUCAGUGAAUCAUCGAAUCUUUGAACGCAUAUUGCGCCCAUUAGUAUUCUAGUGGGCAGGACCGUUCGAGCGUCAUUUCAACCCUUAAGCCUUCGUUGCUUAGUGUUGGGAGCCUACGGCAACGUAGCUCCUCAAAGUUAGUGGCGGAGUUGGUUCACACUCUAGACGUAGUAAUUUUUUAUCUCGCCUAUUAGUUGGACUAAUCCCCUGCCGUAAAACCCCCAAUUUAUCAAGGUUGACCUCGAAUCGGUUCAGACAAACUCGCUAAAUUGAAGCAUCUUAGUCAGCGAAGGAAAAGAAACCAACAGGGAUUGCCCUAGUAACGGCGAGUGAAGCGGCAACAGCUCA